AUUCCCCUAGUAACUGCGAGUGAAGCGGGAAAAGCUCAAAUUUAAAAUCUGGUGGCCUUUGGUCAUCCGAGUUGUAAUUUAGAGAAGCGUCUUCCGCGCUGAACCGUGCACAAGUCUCCUGGAAUGGAGCGUCAUAGAGGGUGAGAAUCCCGUCUUUGGCACGGAACAUCAGGGCUUCUGUGAUGCGCUCUCAACGAGUCGAGUUGUUUGGGAAUGCAGCUCAAAAUGGGUGGUGAACUCCAUCUAAAGCUAAAUAUUGGCGAGAGACCGAUAGCGAACAAGUACCGUGAGGGAAAGAUGAAAAGCACUUUGGAAAGAGAGUGAAACAGUACGUGAAAUUGUUGAAAGGGAAACGCUUGAAGUCAGUCGCGUCGACCGAGACUCAGCCUUGCCUCGGCUUGGUGUACUUCUCGGCUGAUGGGUCAGCAUCAAUUUUGAUCCUCGGAUAAUGUCAAGGGAAAGGUAGCACCUUUUUAGGUGUGUUAUAGUCCUUUGUCGCAUACGGGGGUUGGGAUUGAGGAACUCAGCACGCACCUCUCGGUGUCGGGGCCUUGGCCCACGCUACGUGCUUAGGAUGCUGGCGUAAUGGCUUUAAACGACCCGUCUUGAAACACGGACCAAGGAGUCUAACAUACCCGCGAGUGUUCGGGUGGAAAACCCGUGCGCGUAAUGAAAGUGAAAGUUGGGACCUCUGUCGUGGAGGGCACCGACGCCCGGACCAGACCUUCUGUGACGGCUCUGCGGUAGAGCGUGUAUGUUGGGACCCGAAAGAUGGUGAACUAUGCCUGAAUAGGGUGAAGCCAGAGGAAACUCUGGUGGAGGCUCGUAGCGAUUCUGACGUGCAAAUCGAUCGUCAAAUUUGGGUAUAGGGGCGAAAGACUA
rnacentral:rRNA from 1 species